AGUGAACGCUGGCGGUAGGCCUAACGCAUGCAAGUCGAACGGCAGCACAGUAAGAGCUUGCUCUUACGGGUGGCGAGUGGCGGACGGGUGAGGAAUACAUCGGAAUCUACUUUUUCGUGGGGGAUAACGUAGGGAAACUUACGCUAAUACCGCAUACGACCUACGGGUGAAAGCAGGGGAUCUUCGGACCUUGCGCGAUUGAAUGAGCCGAUGUCGGAUUAGCUAGUUGGCGGGGUAAAGGCCCACCAAGGCGACGAUCCGUAGCUGGUCUGAGAGGAUGAUCAGCCACACUGGAACUGAGACACGGUCCAGACUCCUACGGGAGGCAGCAGUGGGGAAUAUUGGACAAUGGGCGCAAGCCUGAUCCAGCCAUACCGCGUGGGUGAAGAAGGCCUUCGGGUUGUAAAGCCCUUUGUUGGGAAAGAAAAGCAGCAGGUUAAUACCCCGCUGUUCUGACGGUACCCAAAGAAUAAGCACCGGCUAACUUCGUG
rnacentral:rRNA from 1 species